rnacentral:rRNA from 1 species
UACGUAGGGGGCAAGCGUUGUCCGGAUUCAUUGGGCGUAAAGCGCGGGCAGGCGGCCUGCUCAGUCGGCCGUGAAAGCGCCGGGCUCAACUCGGCGAGGUCGGGCGAUACUGGCAGGCUGGAGGCUGGUAGAGGGCGGUGGAAUUCCGGGUGUAGUGGUGGAAUGCGUAGAGCUCCGGAGGAACACCAGUGGCGAAGGCGGCCGCCUGGGCCAGUCCUGACGCUGAGGUGCGAAAGCGUGGGGAGCAAACAGG